CAUUUAAUAUAAAGUACAGUAAGCUACAUUUAAUGCGACAUUUAGCUAAUUGGCCAGACCUGUAAUGCGACACGUUUAAUUGCACAUUUUUACCUCUAAUUGGACAUUGUAAACAUCGACUUCGGACCCAAAUUAUGGCCACACAUUAAAAGUUGCCACCAGACGUCGACACUGUAUCACUCUCAUCGCCAAUGUCCAAUUACAGGUCAAAAUCGCCUCCCUUUUCUAUACAGCGGUGUUUUCCCAAACGAAGCAAAUGCGUUCCACAGGCGGCACUGUUUGUAUUGGCGCUUAUUCGGUUUAACUUCCACCUCGAAAGGAAGUGCAUUCCUUGGCUCAUCGAUUGUGAAACUGUUGACAGGUUAACUUGAAGAGUUUCCGGGCCCCGGGUCAUUAGUCCGUCCGCUCAAUUCAUUGUACAAAUAUUGCGCCAGCGAACGUCACUCAAAUGUUGUGCGAAACAAACUCUCUCGACGGCACCGGCAACGAAAUACCAACGGAGCCAACAUGCUAAUCAUCCAGCAGCAAAAUUCUCCGAGUGUGGAAAUGAACCCAUCUGUAAACUGUGCCAGCCUAAACCAGUUGCAAUACAAGUGCUAUUCGAUGGAAAUAGAUGAACAAAAUAUAACCUUAUUAUCAUCAUUAUUGCAUAAUCUGAAAAUAUAAUAACAAUAGGAAUGCAACCCGAUAUCAAUAAAUUGGGCGUAGGCAUGAAAUCCGAAAGCAGGAUCGAAGUUGUGGCGAUAUUCUGGUACAUGUCUGACACUUGUAUUUAAUUUACCAAUUUACUCGCGUGAAAUAUACGAAUAAUUAGUACGGUUGAAAAUGACUAACGAAUUGGUAUUAAUUACUAGAAAAAUUAUAAUAUAACGGGUGUUAAAUAAAAAAUGAGAAUUUUUCCAAUCACAUAAA